rnacentral:rRNA from 1 species
CCCUUAGAUGUCCUGGGCCGCACGCGCGCUACACUGAUGCAUUCAACGAGUUUUACCUUGGCCGAGAGGCCUGGGCAAUCUUUUAAACCUGCAUUGUGAUAGGGAUAGAUUAUUGCAAUUAUUAAUCUUGAACGAGGAAUUCCUAGUAAACGCAGAUCAUCAAUCUGCAUUGAUUACGUCCCUGCCCUUUGUACACACCGCCCGUCGCACCUACCGAUUGAAUGGUCCGGUGAAGCCUCGGGAUUGUGGCCAGUUCACUUUAUUGGGAGUUGGCUGCGAGAACUUGUCUAAACCUUAUCAUUUAGAGGAAGGUGAAGUCGUAACA